UAUCUGCAAGAUAUCUUUGUUUCCAUUUGUAAACACCUCUGUGAUAUAUAAAUACAAACAAACACUUCAAUGUGAAUCUCAUCGAUUGAGAAUUCACCAAAUACUGUGUUCUUACAGAUCUCCCUCUACUCAUUCUCCGUGAUAUCAGAAUUAUCAUUUUUCAGAUUUUCUCCAUUAUUACUUCGAUCGUCACUGCCAAAGGAUAAGUAAACAGUAUUGCUCUAUUGCUGUUCGAUAAAAUGUCUCAAUGAACUAAUUGUUUUGAUUUUCGGUUUGCGUUUUAAAGAGGUUUUGAUCAAUUAGUUACGUUUAUUUAAGGUUGAUAAAUCUCCUCGAGUCAUUUUUUUCAUGCUCACUGAUUCACUGCUAUGGAUCAGACACUUUUAAGGAGAUUAUUACAAUUCUUAUACCUAUUGCAUUGAUGCUGAUGCUUGCUGGGAAUGGUGAAGAUACAUUAUUGGCCGAUUGUGAAGUUAAUCUGAAGAACCUCAAUUUGCUGGGAAUGGAGUUGAUGUUUUAGUUCACGACUCUACUACUGCUAAACAACUUCUGGUAUUCGUAUUAAUCUUUAAAUUUGUUAUUUCAUUUGUAGAGUUACAAGGAACCAUCAUAUGUUUUUUGCAUCAGGUAAUGUAUUCUGACUUUACAGUUGAUACAGUUGAAUAAAAAAGUGGUAUUUUCUGUUACGUACUACUAAACUAUGCAUCAUAUUAAACUUCGUUUUAGUUACCCAAUCUGGAAGUAACUUUUGUUGUUUUCAAUUGUCGAUGGGCGAUUCAUUGGCCUUGUAGUUUACUAACUAUUUUCUUGUGAUGAAAACUGAAGGGCUAAAUUUACAUUUUGUUUGCAGUCUGAAGUCACUGCUCUAAAGAUCUACACCCACGGCAGGAGCAAUUGGUGUUGUAGAAAAUGGUUGUUCAGUCCCUGAAGCUGCUGCUUCAAGGGUGGAAGCUUUUUCAAGACUCUUAACUUCUUCCAAUUUUUAUUAGACUACAAAGGUUCCCUCCGAUUACAACCAAUUUUGUUUCUGUUCUUGUUUGUUUCUGCUUUACAAAUCAGAUUCAUGACAUUACAUUCACAGAUUCAAGACAUUUCAGGGUCUUUCCGUUGGGAUCCAUUUUUUGCGCUGCAGAAAUCUGACACCUUCUUAACCAUGCUUUUGCUGCUGUCAUGCCAUUGGUUGAUCUAGCGGAAGGAAAUCUUGAUAACAUUAUCACACAUCUUCUGUGAUUCGUAUGCUAGCGGAAUGUGUUGGACUUCUUUGGUUUGAGACCUCAGAUAAAAAAGUUACCUGUACAAGUUAGCAGCAGCAAAGAGGACACACUCGUUGAGGCAAGCUGGAUAAAAUUCUUGUGAAAAUGGGUAAUAGAACAUGUUGCUGGAGUUCUUGCAGGCUUGUUAAAAGGUGGGAUGAGUAACUGGUCAGUGAAUUCCGUAGUAAAGCAUUUUUGGAAGCCUUCACUAUUUCAAAAGAAGGAAAGGAAGAGAGUCUCAAGUUCAAAACAGUGACAUGAAAAAUCCCCCUUUACCAGCGUUAAGCGGUGCUAACUACCAUGCAUCACCAGCAGACCUGCGUAUAACCAGCGAAGACCUUCGUUAGCAUCUGCAGAUGUAGACCCCUCUGCUGCACCACAUCCUAAAUAGUAUAUGGAGCCGUUAGUGAUUCGCAUUGCUGGGCUGUAAAAGAAUGCAAGGAAAGGAUAUAGUCGUGUGGUUAGGUAUAUGCACCGAUGGACCAGUUCACUAUUAAGACAAUUGUAAUUAAGUUAAUUGUCAUGGAGUGAUGGUUUAAACCGCGUUGUGAUGGUACGAUAUUGUAAAUUAUAGUGCAAAUGCAAUCUUCGUUUC